rnacentral:rRNA from 1 species
CAGUCGCCGCGGUAAUACGUAGGUCCCGAGCGUUGUCCGGAUUUAUUGGGCGUAAAGGGAGCGCAGGCGGUUUAGUAAGUCUGAAGUUAAAGGCAUUGGCUCAACCAAUGUAUGCUUUGGAAACUGUUAGACUUGAGUGCAGAAGGGGAGAGUGGAAUUCCAUGUGUAGCGGUGAAAUGCGUAGAUAUAUGGAGGAACACCGGUGGCGAAAGCGGCUCUCUGGUCUGUCACUGACGCUCAUGCACGAAAGCGUGGGGAGCAAACAGGAUUAGAUACCCCUGUAGUCCCUGUCUCUUAUACA